AGAGUUUGAUCCUGGCUCAGGACGAACGCUGGCGGCGUGCUUAACACAUGCAAGUCGAGCGAUGAGAUCACUUCGGUGAUGGAUUAGCGGCGAACGGGUGAGGAACACGUGAAGAAUCUGCCUUCAACUCUGGGAUAACUCCGGGAAACCGGGGCUAAUACCGGAUAUGAGCCUUGAUCGCAUGAUCGGGGCUGGAAAGUUUUUCGGUUGAAGAUGACUUCGCGGCCUAUCAGCUUGUUGGUGAGGUAAUGGCUCACCAAGGCGACGACGGGUAGCCGGCCUGAGAGGGCGACCGGCCACACUGGGACUGAGACACGGCCCAGACUCCUACGGGAGGCAGCAGUGGGGAAUAUUGGGCAAUGGAGGAAACUCUGACCCAGCGACGCCGCGUGCGGGAUGAAGGCCUUCGGGUUGUAAACCGCUUUCAGCAGGGAAUAAGCGCAAGUGAAGGUACCUGCAGAAGAAGCACCGGCUAACUAUGUGCCAGCAGCCGCGGUAAUACAUAGGGUGCAAGCGUUGUCCGGAAUUAUUGGGCGUAAAGAGCUCGUAGGUGGUUUGUUACGUCGGUUGUGAAAUUCAGGGGCUCAACCCCUGACUUGCAGCCGAUACGGGCAAGCUAGAGUUUGGUAGGGGAGACUGGAAUUCCUGGUGUAGCGGUGGAAUGCGCAGAUAUCAGGAGGAACACCGAUGGCGAAGGCAGGUCUCUGGGCCAAUACUGACACUGAGGAGCGAAAGCGUGGGGAGCGAACAGGAUUAGAUACUCCUGGUAGUCCACGCCGUAAACGGUGGGCGCUAGUUGUGCGAACCUUCCACGGUUUGUGCGACGCAGCUAACGCAUUAAGCGCUCCGCCUGGGGAGUACGAUCGCAGAUUAAACUCAAGGAUUGACGGGGCCCCGCACAGCAGCGGAGCAUGCGGCU
rnacentral:rRNA from 1 species